rnacentral:rRNA from 1 species
GCGUUGUUCGGAAUCAUUGGGCGUAAAGCGGGUGUAGGUGGCUCUAUAAGUCAGAAGUGAAAGCCCUGGGCUCAACCCAGGAAGUGCUUUUGAUACUGCAGAGCUUGAAUGUGGGAGAGGGUAGUGGAAUUCCAGGUGUAGUGGUGAAAUACGUAGAUAUCUGGAGGAACACCGGUGGCGAAGGCGGCUACCUGGCCCAACAUUGACACUGAGACCCGAAAGCGUG